rnacentral:pre_miRNA from 1 species
AACCCGUAGAUCCGAUCUUGUGGUGAUUUGAGCUGCACAAGCUCGCUUCUAUGGGUCUU